rnacentral:rRNA from 1 species
CCUACGGGUGGCUGCAGUAGGGAAUAUUGGGCAAUGGGCGAGAGCCUGACCCAGCCAUGCCGCGUGCCGGAUGAAGGCCUUCUGGGUUGUAAACGGCUUUUCUCAGGGAAGAAAACGCCUCUGCGGAGGACACUGACGGUACCUGAGGAAGAAGCACCGGCUAACUCCGUGCCAGCAGCCGCGGUAAUACGGAGGGUGCAAGCGUUGUCCGGAUUUAUUGGGUUUAAAGGGUGCGUAGGCGGCUUGGUAAGUCCGGGGUGAAAGCCCACUGCUCA